AGAGUUUGAUCAUGGCUCAGGACGAACGCUGGCGGCGUGCCUAAUACAUGCAAGUCGAGCGCGGGAAGCAAACUGAAUCCUUCGGGAGGACGUUUGUGGAACGAGCGGCGGACGGGUGAGUAACACGUGGGCAACCUGCCUGUAAGACUGGGAUAACUCCGGGAAACCGGGGCUAAUACCGGAUGAUACUUCGUACCGCAUGGUACGGAGUUGAAAGAUGGUUUACGCUAUCACUUACAGAUGGGCCCGCGGCGCAUUAGCUAGUUGGUGGGGUAAUGGCUCACCAAGGCGACGAUGCGUAGCCGACCUGAGAGGGUGAUCGGCCACACUGGGACUGAGACACGGCCCAGACUCCUACGGGAGGCAGCAGUAGGGAAUCUUCCGCAAUGGACGCAAGUCUGACGGAGCAACGCCGCGUGAGUGAGGAAGGUCUUCGGAUCGUAAAACUCUGUUGUUAGGGAAGAACACGUACGAGAGUCACUGCUCGUACCUUGACGGUACCUAACCAGAAAGCCACGGCUAACUACGUGCCAGCAGCCGCGGUAAUACGUAGGUGGCAAGCGUUGUCCGGAAUUAUUGGGCGUAAAGCGCGCGCAGGCGGCUUCUUAAGUCUGAUGUGAAAUCUCGCGGCUCAACCGUGAGCGGUCAUUGGAAACUGGGGAGCUUGAGUACAGAAGAGGAGAGCGGAAUUCCACGUGUAGCGGUGAAAUGCGUAGAGAUGUGGAGGAACACCAGUGGCGAAGGCGGCUCUCUGGUCUGUAACUGACACUGAGGCGCGAAAGCGUGGGUAGCGAACAGGAUUAGAUACCCUGGUAGUCCACGCCGUAAACGAUGAGUGCUAGGUGUUAGGGGUUUCCACCCUUAGUGCUGCAGUUAACGCAAUAAGCACUCCGCCUGGGGAGUACGGCCGCAAGGCUGAAACUCAAAUGAAUUUGACG
rnacentral:rRNA from 1 species